GCACCUUUGUUGGGUGAUGCAUACGUUUGAUCUGUCUAGCUUCCUGGACUUCCUCAACCAGUUUCUCCACAUCCUGUCCCUGAGCUCUAGAAGCUUCAGAACUUCGCUCCUGUUCUUCAAAUGCCUCUCCAAGUUUAAGCACAACGGCUCUCGCACUUUCAAUCUCAGCACAAGCAAAUGAUUUUUCAUGGUUUACCAGCUUCUUUGCAUCUUCUGAUGCCUGACAUCAUGAGAGCAACACUUAAUAAGGGUCAUUAAUGAUACUCACAUUACCAAAGUAACCUAAAGAACUCCAUACCUGCUUGAGGAAGUUUCCAAGUUUCUUCACUUCAAACUUUUCUUGAAUCAGUUCACCUUCAUUCUGAGUUAACUUUACAGCUAGUGCUUCAACCUAUUCACAGUUUGAUCUUCAAUCUUUAGUUUCAGAAUCAUCAAUC